rnacentral:rRNA from 1 species
GUGGACGUGCGGCCUCUGGCCGAGGUAGGCGCACCAGGCAGUGUAGUUCCUGAGGAGCUUCUUCCGGAUGUUCCGGGCGACGGAGGAGUGGAGGACGUCGGCGGGGUGGUCGGCGGGCAGGGUGCCGCCGGCGCGGAGCUGCGCGUUGGCGAGGAGCAGCACGAGGUGCUCCCGCUGGUUGCGGACGUUGUGCAGCUGGAAGCCGAAGGUGGCGCCGAGCCAGUCGAAGAGGUCGGCGCGGCGGAAGUCCCAGGCGCGCAUGAGCGGCGGCUGCGGGAGGUCCUCCGCGUGCGCCAUCGCCUCCACCGCCGCGCGCACCUCCGGGAACCGCAGCGACGGGUGCUGCCCGUGCAUCACCACGUCCUGGAUCGGGAUGAUGUUGUACGACGCCUGGACCGGCGGCUGCUCCGCCGCCGCCGCGGCGGUGGGGCGGCGGUUGCGCAGGUGGCUCAUCCCGUCUCACGCAGCUGCAAAACAGGAGGAGGCGUCAGUACUAGUCAUCAACAAGAGCCACAUCAUUUCCGGCGAACUAGGGCACUCUACACACAUGAGGAGGAGGAGACGGCGGCGGGUGAGGGGGGAAUCAUGCGACGUUUGUCUGGUUUCUCCGGCGUGGGGUUUGAGGGGUUUGCUUUGCUUUGCUUCUGGGGUUUCCAACCAUGA